UACGAAGGGGCUAGCGUUGUUCGGAAUCACUGGGCGUAAAGCGCACGUAGGCGGAUCUUUAAGUCAGGGGUGAAAUCCCGAGGCUCAACCUCGGAACUGCCUUUGAUACUGGGGAUCUCGAGUCCGGGAGAGGUGAGUGGAACUGCGAGUGUAGAGGUGAAAUUCGUAGAUAUUCGCAAGAACACCAGUGGCGAAGGCGGCUCACUGGCCCGAACUGACGCUGAGGUGCGAAAGCGUGGGAGCAACA
rnacentral:rRNA from 1 species